rnacentral:rRNA from 1 species
AUAGAUGAGAUCUAAUUAUAUUGGUUAAAUGUAGUUAAUUUAUUAUUGAAGUUAAUUUUUUUAUUUUUAGGUGAAAUUUAAAUUUUAAUUAACUUUAUUUUGAUUCUUCGAGAUGUAAAAUUUAAACUAGGAUUAGAUACCCUAUUAUUUUAUAUGUAAAUUUUUUACCAGGGUAGUAGUAGAUAUUUUCUUUAAACCUAAAGAAUUUGGCGGUAUUUUAGUCUAUUCAGAGGAACCUGUUCUAUAAUCGAUAGUCCCCGUUAUAUCUUGCUUUAAUUUUGUUUACAGUAUGUAUACCGCCGUUAUAAGUUUAUUUUAUUAGAAUUAUUAAUUUACUUAAAAUAUAAUUUUAUCAUAUUUC